CUCGAGGCAAAUAAUAUUUCUUUUGUUCGUAUCACAAAAGAAGUCGACUAAACUUUGUUCGACAGAAAGUGUGCUUUGUUUCUUUUGCUCUUGGGUGGAAUUCUACUGUGCGCAAGGCUGUGCGCUUGCAUUUAUUUUUCACGUUUGAUUUAAUUUCGAUCAAUUAAGAGUGUGAUUCUUAUAUUUAAUAGAUUAGUGGUUGCGUUUAAACGGUUCUUGGUCCGAGUCGUGCUAGCUUUGCGUGAUUUUGGCCGGCAUCUGGGCGAACAACAGGACAACGAACUCGAUUGGUCAUCUGUGAGGACGCGCUGUGUAGUCUGGUGCGGUGGUACGACGCCAUUUUGUACGAUCGAGACAGUGAUUACCAGCGGAAGCUCGAGGACGUCGCUGUUGGAGGUGCUUGGAAGUCAUUGUUUGGCGUGACCUUGAGUUAAGUAGGCCAAAUAAGCUGGCAACGGCCGGAACAGGAGAAACGGGCAAAAUGAGCAUGGCAUCGAGUAUCGAGCAGUACCGCAAAGGCGCAGUCUUUGGAGAUUGGGCCGAUAGGCUAGAAUACACGUUUAAGGCCAACAAAGUGAAGGGUGAACUUAAAAAAUCACAUUUUAUGAACCUUUGUGGUCCGUUUAUCUAUUCUCAACUUAAACUUCUCUUCAAGAAGGAUGAAUUAGACAAAGCUGAUUAUGCUACCAUUGUGGCAAAACUCAAGCUUAAACUUGAUUUAGUUGAGCCUGACCUUGUACAACGGUUUCGGUUCAGUCAAAGAACUCAACAACCGGACGAAACCGCUGAGGAGUUUGUGCAAGCGGUCAAACUUCAAGCUGAGUUUUGUGGGUUUGAAAAUUUCAAAGAAGUUGCAAUCAUUGAUAGAGUUUUGGUUGGACUUAGUGAUGCUGUGUUGAAGGAAAAUCUUCUGAAGGAGGAAAAGUUGGAUUUGGCAAAAUUGGACAAGUUUAUCACUACAUGAAACAUUGCUAAACGCAAUGUACAUUCGCUUUUCAAUCAAAAUUCGUGCGCUAACUACAACUACCCUCCUCCGGAGAUGAUUAACCAAGUGAGAAGACCAGUUCACGAGCGUUUGGGCCAUCCCUACAAUCAAAGACAACACACACACACAAAACAAUGUCAAUAGACAGGGUAACGGUUUCAAUAGAUCGGGAAAUGGCUACAACAGAUCGGGUUACAACAACAACAAUCACAAUCGCACACAAAAUUCACAAAACACUCAACGUACAGUUCGAUUCCAAGGUGAUAACCGUAACAACACACAAAGAAACACAAACUACAGUAACAAUAACAGACUAAAUGGUCGUAACAACUACAACAAUUGGCCAAAGAGGGAUUAUUCAGAGAUGGUAUGUGAUUACUGCGGGGAGUUAGGUCAUAUAAAAAGAAAGUGUUUCACAUUGAGAAACCUGCGGCGAGAUGCGGUGAAUUUCAUCGAGGUCGCGAAGCCGGUGACGAACGAAGCUGAAGACAACCUGGAGUUCGAGAUGGGAGAAGAUUUUGAGAUAUUGCGGGGCACCGGAUGCGGUGAAGGCCCGUUCCGAGGUUUUCCGGAACCGGUUCAACCAAGAGCGAGGAGACGGAAGCGGGAUGCCGCCGAGGCAGAUUUGCCAGAGAUUUGUCUUCGGCGUUCUAAACGCAUAAGGAAUCCAAAAGUGGACAGUGAAUUUAACUAUAACUAGUGAAUUGUUUUCGCGCUCUAAAUUUGUAUUAACUGAUACAUGAAUGAAUUCUAAACUAUGUUCUUUA